GCUGAGCAAGUAUACUUUGUCUGCACGACUUAAUGGAGGAUGUCCCAGCUGAAGAUUAAUCAAGGUACUCGAGAAAUUCGGUAGUCUGCAUUUGAUGCAUCCUUCAUUCGCAUGAAAAUAAGCAUUGCUCAUCUUCAUGCGAGAUACGCCUCCAACGAAAUGUUGGCGUGGCAUCAUGCCAACAACAACUAGAUCUUCCGGUGCAUCGGGAAUGCGCUGUUGAUACUUCAAA